GACCCGGUGGUGUAUGGUACAUGCCUGCUGCUGCUACAUAUUCACAACCGAAGAGAUUUCAGCGGGAGUCGCUCGUUCGAUUCGGGCCCGGGUCA